UUGAACGCUGGCGGCAUGCCUUACACAUGCAAGUCGAACGGUAACAGGUCUUCGGAUGCUGACGAGUGGCGAACGGGUGAGUAAUACAUCGGAACGUGCCCGAUCGUGGGGGAUAACGCAGCGAAAGCUGUGCUAAUACCGCAUACGAUCUACGGAUGAAAGCGGGGGAUCGCAAGACCUCGCGCGGACGGAGCGGCCGAUGGCAGAUUAGGUAGUUGGUGGGAUAAAAGCUUACCAAGCCGACGAUCUGUAGCUGGUCUGAGAGGACGACCAGCCACACUGGGACUGAGACACGGCCCAGACUCCUACGGGAGGCAGCAGGGGGGAAUUUUGGACAAUGGGGGCAACCCUGAUCCAGCAAUGCCGCGUGAGUGAAGAAGGCCUUCGGGUUGUAAAGCUCUUUUGUCAGGGAAGAAACGAUCUCCUCUAAUACAGGGGGUUAAUGACGGUACCUGAAGAAUAAGCACCGGCUAACUACGU
rnacentral:rRNA from 1 species